AAGCCAGUGGUGAACUCCACAUACGCAUCCUUUGCUGAGGAUACGGUUAACGGAGCGAAAGCGACGUUCAACCUCAAAAGAAGCAGAGGGGGCUUAGUGGUGGGGUGACUGCGUACCUUUUGUAUAAUGGGUCAGCGACUUAUAUUCUGUAGCAAGGUUAACCGAAUAGGGGAGCCGGAGGGAAACCGAGUCUUAACCGGGCGUUAAGUUGCAGGGUAUAGACCCGAAACCCGGUGAUCUAGCCAUGGGCAGGUUGAAGGUUGGGUAACACUAACUGGAGGACCGAACCGACUAAUGUUGAAAAAUUAGCGGAUGACCUGUGGCUGGGGGUGAAAGGCCAAUCAAACCGGGAGAUAGCUGGUUCUCCCCGAAAGCUAUUUAGGUAGCGCCUCGUGAAUUCAUCUCCGGGGGUAGAGCACUGUUUCGGCUAGGGGGUCAUCCCGACUUACCAACCCGAUGCAAACUGCGAAUACCGGAGAAUGUUAUCACGGGAGACACACGGCGGGUGCUAACGUCCGUCGUGAAGAGGGAAACAACCCAGACCGCCAGCUAAGGUCCCAAAGUCAUGGUUAAGUGGGAAACGAUGUGGGAAGGCCCAGACAGCCAGGAUGUUGGCUUAGAAGCAGCCAUCAUUUAAAGAAAGCGUAAUAGCUCACUGGUCGAGUCGGCCUGCGCGGAAGAUGUAACGGGGCUAAACCAUGCACCGAAGCUGCGGCAGCGAACGUAUCACCCAAGACAACUUUACGGAGUUGACGAUUGAUGGAGCGAAGCGACGUCAAAGCGUUCAUUAAAGUCGAGUUGGCUUAGGGAUACGUUCGUUGGGUAGGGGAGCGUUCUGUAAGCCUGUGAAGGUGGCCUGUGAGGGUUGCUGGAGGUAUCAGAAGUGCGAAUGCUGACAUAAGUAACGAUAAAGCGGGUGAAAAGCCCGCUCGCCGGAAGACCAAGGGUUCCUGUCCAACGUUAAUCGGGGCAGGGUGAGUCGACCCCUAAGGCGAGGCCGAAAGGCGUAGUCGAUGGGAAACGGGUUAAUAUUCCCGUACUUGGUGUUACUGCGAAGGGGGGACGGAGAAGGCUAUGUUGGCCGGGCGACGGUUGUCCCGGUUUAAGCGUGUAGGUGUGUGUUCUAGGUAAAUCCGGUUCACUUUAACACUGAGGCGUGAUGACGAGGCACUACGGUGCUGAAGCAACAAAUGCCCUGCUUCCAGGAAAAGCCUCUAAGCAUCAGGUAACAUCAAAUCGUACCCCAAACCGACACAGGUGGUCAGGUAGAGAAUACCAAGGCGCUUGAGAGAACUCGGGUGAAGGAACUAGGCAAAAUGGUGCCGUAACUUCGGGAGAAGGCACGCUGACACGUAGGUGAAGUGAUUUACUCA
rnacentral:rRNA from 1 species